rnacentral:rRNA from 1 species
CAGCAGCCGCGGUAAUACGAAGGGUGCAAGCGUUAAUCGGAAUUACUGGGCGUAAAGCGUGCGUAGGCGGUUUGUUAAGUCUGUUGUGAAAUCCACGGGCUCAACCUGGGAAUGGCAAUGGAUACUGGCAAGCUAGAGUGUGUCAGAGGAUGGUGGAAUUCCCGGUGUAGCGGUGAAAUGCGUAGAGAUCGGGAGGAACAUCAGUGGCGAAGGCGGCCAUCUGGGACAACACUGACGCUGAGGCACGAAAGCGUGGGGAGCAAACAGGAUUAGAUACCCGCGUAGUCCCUGUCUCUUAUAC